rnacentral:rRNA from 1 species
AGAGCGGGAGCCCGGAGAUGGGCACUGAGACAAGGGCCCAGGCCCUACGGGGCGCAGCAGUCGCGAAAACUUUGCAAUACACGCAAGUGUGACAGGGCUAUCCCGAGUGCCAUCCGCUGAGGAAGGCUUUUACCCAGUCUAGAACGCUGGGGGAAUAAGGAGAGGGCAAGUCUGGUGUCAGCCGCCGCGGUAAUACCAGCUCUCCGAGUGGUGUGGAUGUUUAUUGGGCCUAAAGCAUCCGUAGCUGGCUAGGUUAGUCCCUUGUUAAAUCCACCGAAUUAAUCGUUAGAUUGCGGGGGAUACUGCCUGGCUAGGGAACGAGAGAGGCAGACGGUAUUUUCGGGGUAGGGGUGAAAUCCUAUAAUCCCGGGAAGACCACCAGUGGCGAAGGCUGUCUGCU